CGGUUGAUCCUGCCGGAGGCCACUGCUAUCGGGCUCCGACUAAGCCAUGCGAGUCAAGGGGCCCUUCGGGGCACCGGCGCACGGCUCAGUAACACGUGGCCAACCUACCCUCGGGUGGGGGAUAACCUCGGGAAACUGAGGCUAAUCCCCCAUAGGGGAUGGGAUCUGGAAGGCCCCGUCCCCGAAAGCUCCGGCGCCCGAGGAUGGGGCUGCGGCCCAUCAGGUAGUAGGUGGGGUAACGGCCCACCUAGCCUGCGACGGGUACGGGCCCUGUGAGGGGGAGCCCGGAGAUGGACCCUGAGACACGGGUCCAGGCCCUACGGGGCGCAGCAGGCGCGAAAAUUGAGCAAUGCGCGAAAGCGCGACUCAGGGAGCCCGAGUGCCCCUCGCUAUGCGGGGGGCUUUUCCCGAGCCUAAAAAGCUCGGGGAAUAAGGGCUGGGCAAGACGGGUGCCAGCCGCCGCGGUAAUACCCGCAGCUCAAGUGGUGGCCACUAUUAUUGAGCCUAAAGCGUCCGUAGCCGGACCCGUAAAUCCCCGGGUAAAUCGGGUCGCUCAACGAUCCGGCUCCCGGGGAGACUGCGGGUCUUGGGACCGGGAGAGGCCGGAGGUACUCCCGGGGUAGGGGCAAAAU
rnacentral:rRNA from 1 species